AGAUAUUAGUCUAUUUUUGUUAGGUUGAUUGCCCUUUUUUAUUGAUUUAUAAAAGAGCCUUACCUAUUGUGGAUACAAAUCCCUUUCAAAUAUAUGUAUUGUAAAUAUCUUCUCCCAAUUUUUGGCUAUCUUUUCACUCUCUUAAUUUUUUUUUAUGGAAAGCAAUCCUUAAUUUUAACAAAGCCAAACUAUCAAUCUUUUAUUUCAUAGUCAAUAUUUAAUAUUUUGUGUUGUGUCCCAUAAAAGGUUUUUCGUUUGGUUUGGUUUUGGUCUAUCUCAAGGCGAUAAAGAUGUUCUCCUGUUUUCUUGUAGAAGUUUUAUUAUUUUCCAUUUCACACUUUGGAACUGAUUUUAUGUACACUGUAAAGUAGGAGUAUCUUUGUCCAUAUGGGCUGCUUUCACAAAAAUACCAUAGAUUGGGUGGUUUACAAAUAACAGGAAUUUAUUACUGACAGUACUGGAGGCUGGAAAGUCUAAGAUCAAGGCACUAACAGAUGUAGUGUCUGGUGAGAACCUGCUCCUGGUUCAUAGACAGUUGUCUUCUCACUAGAGUGCUCUGCUCUCAAGGCCAUAAUCAUCUGUCAAAGGCUUCACCUUCAAGUACCAUCACAUCAGGGAUUAGAAUUUCAACAUAUGAAUUUUAGGGCUACACAAACAUUUGGUCUAUAGCAAGGGAAUGAGAUUCAUUUUUUUCCUCAUGUGAAUAUCAAACUCAGCAAGGAGCUUGUACAUUUUAAAUACUGAUGUACAUUACUACAUUGCCCUCAUAGAGGUUGUAUCAAUUUACAUUUCUAUCAAUAAAUGUAACUCCUGCCAGCACAAUAUGAGUGUAUGUUUGCGUGUUUUUAAAUUAAACACUUGGCUGUGGCCAAAACAAAACAAACAAUACAAAAGCAAUUAAUUGAGGUUGCAAACUUAUGACCAUAAAUUUUGGUUCAAUUAUUCAUUUCAUAAAUGAAACCUGGGAAAUGGGGCAGUUUGCUCAAGCUCACAUAGCUAGGAACUAGAACUAUGAUCAGAACCAAGGUCUCUUACUCUCAGCCUAAAUAUAUUCUAGUUUUAAAAUUGAGGGUCAGCAAGAUUAAGGCACUUGAAGCUAAUUGACAUCCCAAAUAAGAAUCCGGAUCAUCCAAUUUCUGCCCUUUUCCCAUGCUGUCUCAAUUCAUUGUACACUAUUAUUCAUUAUUCAACACAUCAGAGCAUCUGUCCAUGCCUUGUACUUUCCUAAGCUCUGCUAAUAUAGCCACAGACCAGAAAGAUACUCCACGCCCUCCUUCACGUAAUCACACUUGUGUAAAUGCUAUGAAGGAGAAGCAUGGUGUGGAAGGAAGAGUGCCGCAGCUGUAAAAUGCUAGUGGGAGACACAGAAGGAGACACUCCCCUCACAGAGCUUAUAUUUUUACUGAGGGGGGAGGCAAACACCCUGAAAUGUCAGUGUAACCAGGUUAUUAGGAAAUCCCAACUCAGUGGAGGCACCGACAGGAAAUAAUUUCUUCCACUAAUUCUCUUUGACAAUGCUUUUGAUUUGUAGGAGAUCCCAUUUUUCCCUCCGAAUGAUAGUUUCUUUGAGAUGAUCUUGCCUGAUUCUAUAACUUUCAGUCACUUUCAGUUAUUAGAACAGACUUGUCCUAAUAUUUAACAUUCAGCUCUUUUAAUUUCUUCACUUAGAUUCGAGUUACUGUAGCAUUCCCUUCAUUUGAAAGAUUUCCCUUAGUGUUUAUUAUAUAUUACAUAUAUUAUUAUAUAUUAUUUAUUUCUCAUAAGGAAGAUCUACUCGCCACAAAUUCUCUCAGUGUUUAUCUGGGAAUGUCUUUAUCUUGACUUCACCUUUGAAAGAUAAUUUUUUUAGAGAAUUCUUGUUUGACAGUUUUUUUUUCCUCCUUCAGCACUUUAUAUAUGCCAUUCCACUGCCUUCUCCAUUGUUCCUGAUGCGACAUCAGCUUUUAUUCUUGUCCCCCCUGUAUGUGAUGAGUUGACUAUUCAAAAGCCAGGUAGUUUACAAGUCUGUCCUGUCUUUUAUCCUACUGGGUUUUCCAGUGUCUCCUCUGUGACAGCGUAAGGCUUCAUGUUGAGUCAGGAUGAGCAGAUGACUAGGGCUCUCUCAAGAGUCUCCUGAGCUUACACAGCCUCCCAGACCACCAGUAUAUGUGGGAGCUUAUCAAAGCCCAUGAUGGUCUCCCUGCUAAACCUCUAGGAAGCCUUCUCAUCAGUUGUUGGCCCAACCAAUACGGCAACCUCAGCGGGCAGCUGCGAAGUUGGCGUUCCAAAUGGAGGCUUCCCCUUGGUCAUGUGGUUUUUCUGGCUUGGCUCCAAAUCAAGCUGCCCUCUCUGGCAGCAAAGCUGCUCGUUUCCCAGCUUUCCCAGCCCUGGAAGAACAACUUCCAUGGAAAUGGAGGGGGGAGACUGGGACAUUCUCUGGGCUAAAAUGUCAUGCACGCUCACUGUUCCUACACAAAGUUUAGUAGCUUUUCUUGAUUAAAUGUUUCUUAAUUUGUGUCAUGCCUAUGAUCGAUUUCCAGGGAGCUGAAGUGGUUUUUUAGCACAAUUUUCUCCAGUCUCAUCAUUUGCCAUUUGGGGAGAGGAUUUGCGGAGUUCCUCGCUCUGCCAUUCCAAAAGUCACAACACAGCCCUGUUUGUUCAAAACCUUAUUUUUCAGCUCUGUUCAGUGUUCUCCUCCCUGGUCCAUGGAGCAGACUAGCUUGGUUGCACUAGAGACUUGGAGUGGAGGCUGGGGUCUCCCUCUGGUCCUCACAUACCUUCUCUCCUUUCUUUUUCAAGGAGUUAGUUCCUCUGGUGGCAUGAGGACAGGAAGGAAGGGAAAAGAAAAGAGCAAAUUUUCUUCCUUAUUGGACAAGGUUGUAACCUCUCUCUCUUGGUUAUGCUGUUUCUCUGGCUGGUCUAGCCUGGCUCCAACGACCUCAGGGUGGCAGAUCUCUAUAUGCUGAGUCUCUUAGGGAGCACCUAGAACAUUCUGUAAACAUCCUUUGGGGGUCCUGCUCACUGCUAAUACAUUUGACGUGGAGAUUGGGCUCUGCUUCAACUUCUUUCAUCCUUUCCCUUUCAAUGGUUAAGAGCAUUGUUUCUGUAGCCACACUAACCUGGUUUGAAUCCCAGAUGUACUACCUAUACCCUGUGUGACUGUGCAGCUGCACCUUAGCAGACUCUAAGCUUAGGGUGGGUCAUGGUCUGGUGAGGUCAAGAAAAGACCCAGAGACAGCGAUUGAGAUGUAGGGUUUCCUGUAAGUUAUGUAUAGGGACUGUAGGAGCAGCCGACUGGACAAAGCAUCCGCUGCUGGGAUCUACAUGCAGCAAGUUCUACAUCACAGCAACUUAGCAAUUCUCAGUGGUCCUUCCCCUCUUUUUAUGACCAGCGCUUCCCAGAAUAUCAAGGCCUGACACAUGUGAACUUUGUUACAAGGGAGACACUCUGGGUUGGCCACCCCCGGGGCCCUGACCUUGAACACUGAACAACACAUUCUGCUGCACAUUCCGCUUGAUAGGAAUAGAGACAGAGGACAAGAUCUCUACAUUUUCAACAUGGGCAUUCAGGGUAUGCUUGCACAAACUAGCUAUGCAGCAUGUGCCACACAGUGAUCAUGGGAAAGUAACAGCCUCUCUGAAUCUGUGUCUUCAUCUAUAAAAUGGAGGUAUUAAUCAUAUUUCAUUAGGUAAGGAUGUAUGAGAUACAGUCCCCAAAUCUCAGUGGCGUCGAAAAGCAAAGGUUUAUUUUUCACUCCUGUGACAUGUUAGAUGUGGGUGGCUUUGCAUCUUUUUCCUUCCUGGACGCAGGGGUGGAGCAGCCCUAUCUCGACUAGCUAUUCUUAGGAGAGGGGAAGAUCAAGAUUGCUGAUAGAACAGCUCUUAGGAACCAGACCACCUAUCACAAGGUAAUAACCGCAUCUUCCUUACCAUUGUAGUAAGAAUUAAACGAGAUGAAGCAUGACCAAUGUGUAACAGUAUUCUGCACUUAAUAAGGGCUCAAGAAAUGUCACACAGAGAGAGAGAGAGAGAGAGGCAGAGACACAGGCAGAGGGAGAAGCAGGCUCCACGCAGGGAGCCCAACGUGGGACUCGAUCCCGGGUCUCCAGGAUCGCGCCCUGGGCCAAAGGCAGGCGCCAAACCGCUGCGCCACCCAGGGAUCCCGAACUGUUAGAUACUAUUAUUAUUAUUAUUUAUUGUUACUACUUCCAGCUGUUGAUGAAAGUUUUUCCAUUCACUAGACUGGACUACAUCUGACUUGCGAAGAGAAAAAAUUGUAAUCCUUCCCAAUAUUCGAUUGGAGAAAAUAAAACACUGAGUCUAAGGGCACAGGCUUUCGAGGACUGUGGACUCUUCAUGAGGAUGGUCCUCGACAAGUUACUUAAUCUCCCUGCGUCUUAGUUUCCACCGUCUGAAAAUGGGGAUCCCUGGGACUACGUUGUAGGCUUGUUAUUAGAGCCCAGUCAGCCCGAUCCCGUGCACCAGAGCAGGAGCCGAGUAUUUGUUCGAUCACUGAAUGUGGAUUUUAGACUAAUUUCAAAUAUUCCAUGAGCUGUAUGCAUAACCUAACUACCAUUCUGCUGUAUGGUAAGACCUCUUACAGGUCUUUUCCAUCUUUUGGGUCUCAGCUCAAACUGGCACCUCCCCAGAGACACCUUCCGUGAUCACACCAUUUAAAGCGGUUCCCCCACUUCUUAAAAUUGUCUCGCUCCGUCAUUGGCUUACUUAAUAUCUGUCUCCGCCACCUGAAGGCAAACUCCAAGAAAUCAGGGAUCCUGCCCUGGGUCCUCUGCAUCCUCAUCCGUAAAGCUGGCAAGUGAAGGAGGAAGAGCCAGGUGCAGGCUGGCGGGCCCACCGGCAGCUCCCCCGCCCGACUCCAGCCUCGAGCUCCUUCUGGGCGGGGCCCCGCCUCC
rnacentral:lncRNA from 1 species